ACGUGACACACGCACAGCGUGCUCUAUUCAUAGCCGGGGGAGAGGGAGCCGGCUCGGCGCUGGCGCUGAGGGUUGCGGCGUGGUCGGGGUGUGAGGGCAACCCCGGGCUCUGGCGUGACCGCGCGGCUGCUCCGGCAUGUGAUGAGACCGCCUGCGCCUCGGGACGGGGGUGGAUUUGCUGCUUCUAAUAGCUUUAAACAUCAGCUGCACCGUGAGAGCCCCCCCACAACACACACACGUGCAAGGGCCGUGGAGGAGGUUGUGAGAGGCGCGAUGGUCACGGGGCUCCAGGGCUGGGAAAUGAAUUGCAGGUUCCCCCACCACCACCACCCUACGAGCGACUUUACACGUGGGGGAAGCCUGCCUGUCGGCCCUGCAGGGUGAUGGGGUCAAGUGAGCAGGGAGCUGUUGCUCACCAAUCGCUAGGAGGAGACACCUGCUGAGAGUAGGGGAUGGUUUAAAACCUAAACAGGGAAAGGACAUUUGUUACCUAAUGCUUAGUUAAAUUUGUGGAAUUCGUUGCCACAGGCAGUGGUGGAGGCAGAGAGCAUAGCCAGGCUGAGGAAGGGCCUGGAUACACUUCUGGAUGGUAGAUCUCUUAAUGGUUACUGAGCAGAAUGAUUGGAAAUGUUUUCUCUGGCAUCUCUAAACCUAUAAUGGCAGAUGCCAGGGAGGAUACCAAAUGGGAGAUGGAUCACUAGAGAUACCCGAUUCAAUGCUCUCCUUCUGCAGCAGGGGUGGCCAGAGUUACUCACCCUGGGAGCCACAUCCAAUCCAGCACAGAAAGUUGCGGGGGGGAGAGGGGUGCUGAGUGACUGGGAGUGGAAGUGACCACCCCCUCCCUGCAUUGCUAGGCCACUCCAGCUUUCCCUGUGGGGAGCAUGCCCUGGGGCAAGCAACCUGGUGCCUGAGCCGGCAGUCUCGGAGGGAGAGAAGGAGGGUGGGCUCCCUGUGGGGAAAGUCAAAGCAGCAGGAGAUGCCAGGCUGCUCUGUCCCUUGGAGCCACUUUGGGGAGAACUGAGCGGGGCUUCGGCCAAUUUCCAGAGAGCCACAAGUACCGUGCCAGCAAGCUGCUUGUGAGCUGCAGUUUGGCCACCUAUGCUCUAUAGCAACCAUUUGUGCUGCUGUCAGAGACAGAUUACUGCACUAGAUGGACUGCUGGUCUGACCCAGUAUGACACUUCUUAUGUUCUUAACCUCUGUGCAGAACAAGGUCUCUCUGAUUCUUAUAUGGACCCAGAGCCAGCCUUAAGGAAAAUGGUGCCCUGAACGAACUUGUAUUUUGAUGCCUUCCCCCAGCACUCUCCUGAAGUCAGCGGUGCUGCUGAAGGCAGGGGUGCAGGGAACAGUCUGUCAGGGAGGCAGAGCGGCAUGGUGCAUCAUGCAGGUGGGCAGCUAUUCUGUAUCUCAUUUCUGAUAAACUUCCAUCUGGGUUCAGCAUCCAGUACUGCAUGGACAGGGAUCUCUUUAACAUCAACUGAUUACAUUCAAGUCCAAGAUACCAGUGCCUCCAUUACUGAUCUUCAGUAUGCUGUCAAUUGUGUCAUGUGUGCCCACUGAGUUGAACAGUUCCAGUUACUCUUAAUUACUUCUGCAAAGAAUAUAAAAUGCUAGGACUUACUGUCAGCUUCACAAAAAUCAAGCUCCUUACUGACCCACCCAAACCAACCAUCUGCUCUUCCACAUACUACAAUUAGAGGGAAACCCUUGGAGAAUGUUGAGAAUUCUCUCUGCCUAGCCACCAUUCCCAAAAAGAAAAUACAGACUAUGAUAUUCAAUGCUGGAUAAAAUAUGUCACUACUGCCUUUAGACAUCCCUGAAACUGUGUCUUGGACGAUCGUGACAUCAGACUGGAAUCAAACUUCUCAUCUACCAGGCUCUUGUCCUACCCUAUUAUAUGGGUGUGAAAUUUGGAUGAUAUAUCAGAAGCUUUGGAAAAUGACUAUCAGCAAUCUCUGUAAAAUCCUCCAUGUCGGCUGAAAGGACAGAAGACUCAAUGCCAGCAACCACCAGCUCAAGCAACCACCACUAGCAUUGAAACUAUAUUUAUAUGGUAUCAGCUGUGUUGGACAGGGUGUGUCAUAAGGAUGCCUAACAAACCAUCUUCCUAAACAGGUCUUAUACUCCCAACUGACUGAAGCUCAUCACUCUAGAGGUGGGCAAAAAAGAGGUUCAAGGACAUCAUGAAGGUCAAUCCAAAGAAGUGUGAUACUAACAUCAGUACAUGGGAGAUUCAAGCACUGACUUGUCCUAAAGUAUGCCACAAUGUACAAGGCAUCAAUCAUUUCAAGAAAACUUGCCUCACAAUGGAGGUACGUAGUUGAGAGAGACAAAAGAAAGGAGCUAUUAUCCAACAUCACUAGGAUCUACUCCUUUGCAGAACUAUUUACCACAUCUGUAGUCAAACAUGCAAAUUUUGGAUUGGCCGCCUCAGUCAUCUAUGUACUCACCAAUGUCUUCCCAAUUUACUGGAAGACUGUCAUCAAAGGACUGCUGCUGCUGAUUAGUUGUUAUUAUAAAAGCUAUUUUUUUUA